UACAGAGGGUGCGAGCGUUAAUCGGAAUUACUGGGCGUAAAGCGCGCGUAGGCGGCUUUGCAAGUCGGGUGUGAAAUCCCCAGGCUUAACCUGGGAACUGCAUUCGAGACUGCAUUGCUAGAGUAUGGGAGAGGGAAGUGGAAUUUCCGGUGUAGCGGUGAAAUGUGUAGAUAUCGGAAGGAACAUCAGUGGCGAAAGCGGCUUCCUGGACCAGUACCGACGUUCAGGCACGAAAGCGUGGGGAGCAAACAGG
rnacentral:rRNA from 1 species